UAAACGGCGGCCGUAACUAUAACGGUCCUAAGGUAGCGAAAUUCCUUGUCGGGUAAGUUCCGACCUGCACGAAUGGCGUAACGAUCUGGGCACUGUCUCCUCCGCGAGCUCGGCGAAAUUGGAGUCUCGGUGAGGAUACCGAGUACCCGCGACAGGACAAAAAGACCCCGUGCACCUUUACUACAACCUGCCAUUGGGUCUUGGCUUUGCAUGUGUAGGAUAGGUGGGAGACUGAGAACCGUCGUCGCCAGGCGGCGGGGAGUCGUCGGUGAAAUACCACCCUUACAGAGUUGAGGCUCUAACCCAGGGGAGUGAAUCCUCCUCGGGGACCGUGGCAGGCGGGUAGUUUGACUGGGGCGGUCGCCUCCCAAAGCGUAACGGAGGCGCGCAAAGGUUCCCUCAGCGCGGUCGGCAAUCGCGCGUAGAGUGUAAAGGCAGAAGGGAGCUUGACUGCGAGAUCGACGGAUCGAGCAGGUACGAAAGUAGGCCUUAGUGAUCCGGUGGUUCCGAAUGGAAGGGCCAUCGCUCAACGGAUAAAAGGUACGCCGGGGAUAACAGGCUUAUCGCCCCCGAGAGUUCACAUCGACGGGGCGGUUUGGCACCUCGAUGUCGGCUUAUCGCAUCCUGGGGCUGGAGAAGGUCCCAAGGGUCGGGCUGUUCGCCCGUUAAAGCGGUACAUGAGCUGGGUUUAGAACGUCGUGAGACAGUUCGGUCUGUAUCCGUCGUGGGCGUCGGAGUGUUGAGGAGAGCCGUCCCUAGUACGAGAGGACCGGGAUGGACCGACCCCUCGUGUACCGGUUGUUCCGCCAGGGGCAUUGCCGGGUAGCGACGUCGGGAAGGGAUAACCGCUGAAAGCAUCUAAGUGGGAAGCCCACUCCAAGAUGAGCACUCCCAGCGCGUAAGCGCUCAGAAGGGCCGUGAGAGACGAUCACGUUGAUAGGCGGUAGGUGGAAGCGUGGCGACACGUGAAGCCGAGCCGUACUAAUCGCCCGAGAGGCUUGGCCA
rnacentral:rRNA from 1 species